rnacentral:rRNA from 1 species
UACGGAGGGUGCAAGCGUUGCUCGGAAUCACUGGGCGUAAAGAGCGUGUAGGCGGCCAGAUAGGUCUGCUGUGAAAACUCGAGGCUCAACCUCGAGCUGUCGGCGGAAACCAUCCGGCUAGAGUCCGGAAGAGGAGAGUGGAAUUCCCGGUGUAGCGGUGAAAUGCGCAGAUAUCGGGAAGAACACCUGUGGCGAAGGCGGCUCUCUGGGACGGUACUGACGCUGAGACGCGAAAGCGUGGGGAGCAAACAGG